rnacentral:ncRNA from 1 species
GAGAGCCAAAUGAAUCGAAAGAUUCAUGUUUGGUUAGGGAAGGGAUUAUGGAAUUUUGAAAAGGAAUAGAAAAAUAAUCUACUUUCAU